rnacentral:misc_RNA from 1 species
GAAAUUUAUGGUCUGUUUAAAUGAGGGUGAAGAAGGAAUAAAUGAAUGUAAAGAGUAAUAAGUAAGUUAUGUCAUUCUGUUUGGAAAGAUGUGAAUUAAUUUAGGGUAUGGAUAAGUAAGGGUAAGCUUCCCUCUCUUACCCUUCAAAUCUCGAUUUUUCUUACACUCCAAAUUAGGGUAUAAGGAAAGGGAGGUGAGAAUUAUAGCCAUUUUUAUUUCUACAACCAUAAGUUUACUAUUCAUUUACCUCUUCUCAAAUAUUAAAAAUAUACAUUACCUCCUUUUACCUUUUCAUUAUUUCACUCCUUU